AUAAGGUGGAAACGGAUAGAGCCAACGUAUCUGGCUUGCAUUCAGCUGCCGUUCGGGUUCGGACUGGCGAGGCGAUCCUGCUUCUGGUUGUCUUGUUGGUUGCGGAGCCUGAGAGGUAGUGCAUUUGCAGGUGGAGUGCGCUGAGGUGUGCGGAGUAGCGAUUCGAUCAUUGUCUAGAGGACACCUUGUGUGAACCCUGGGCGGUGGGAAAAUUGUUUGCCCUGCACUACCACUAAUGGAGUGGCCUUUGGUGAAUUGGAGUUCGAUCGCGUGGAUUGCUUGUAACGGCCGCAUGCGACGCGUGCUCGUUGUCUAUGUGAUUGGGUUUCGGUUCCCUUCUCCAGUGGAUCUCGGUGUAAAAGUUGGUCAUCUACCCGACCCGUCUUGAAACACGGACCAAGGAGUUUAGCGUAUACGCGAGUCAUUGAGUGUUUAAACUCAAAGGCGCAAUGAAAGUGAAUUUUGAUAUGCGAUCCCGUAUGCCUCGGCGUGCGGGAGCAGCAUAGCCCCGUCCCGAUCGCUUGCGAUGGGGCGGAGGUAGAGCGUAUUCGCUGAGACCCGAAAGAUGGUGAACUAUUCCUGAGCAGGAUGAAGCCAGAGGAAACUCUGGUGGAAGUCCGAAGCGGUUCUGACGU
rnacentral:rRNA from 1 species